rnacentral:lncRNA from 1 species
UCCAGGUAAGCAUGUUUUAUUGCAGUUUCGGUGUCAUAAGAUAUAUUUUUUGGGUCUAGAAUGUGAGAUCUUCCUUGCUGCCAAAAGUCACACUGUAACAAUCAAUGGAAUAUUACUAAGAAAUAAAACCGAGUCGGCAUCUAUUUAUACUUCAGUAAUAUACAAAAUUAAAUUUUCUAUCUGCUGGUGUAAGGUUUCAUACAAAAUAAAUUGGGGCUCAGUACGAAAUUCGAUGUUGAAAACUGCAGACCAUGAUUAUCACCUGGAGCUGCGCACAGUUUACUGUACUGCUAUCGCUAGCGAACGCCAGCGCUCUCAUUUAAUUGGUUUAACGGCGUGUACGUUGCUGUCGGAGAACAUCCCUGAUUUUCGAAUUUGUUUGUUUUGAUUAGGCCGAUUAGGCACAUUGGAAUUCGGUUAAAAUUCAAUUUAAAAUUGUGUAGCUUGUUGAUGGUAGAAGUUGUGAAGCGCAUAACAUAAAAGAGUUGUGUAGAGAUUGUAUGGGGUGUUGGCGUUUUUGUAGUUUCCUUUUUCUGGUGCUCUUUAGUCUUUUGAGAUCUUUGCAUGGGUUGGAAUGGAAAUUUGCAAUGCCACCACAACCAGGAAACUGAAACAGUGUUUUUUUUUCAUGCCACAAUUAUGGGCAACACGGCAGGGCAAAGUUUGCCUCAAGUCCUGGCUCAUUCAUAGCCUUGAUUUGCAUUCAAGAAAGCAAGUCUGUGCCCAAAUGGAUGCUGCACAUUUUUAUAUUCUUCAAAGCAAUCGAGGUUCAUUUGCCGAGGCUGCAUGGAGUAUGCGAAGCAAAGCAGUGUCAUGCUGAUGCGGAGAUGACGACGUUGUAUCUGGCGGUGGUUCUGGAGACAGCGCGGUUCGAUCCAGCUGUGGGCCAGACGUCACCCAGCAGAAAUGGCAGCGUGUUAUCACCAGCUACGAGGCGCGCAUACGGACAUUGUCCAGAAACAAUCACGUCAUCUCCAGGCAGUCAGCUGAGUCAGAUCCAGGACCAGCUCCGGAGCCUGAACCUGUCAUUGAAGGCCGGCAGGCACCACCUAUCCUUCACUGUACAAUCCUUUGGUGUUACAAGUUACAACCAGAUUAAUUGCUUUAUGCUCCACUCAGUCUGCUGUUUGACCAUAAUGGGCUGUUUGAAUGGCAUGGCAUAUUGUGUCAUAAGGAAAAAAUAUAGUAUUGCAGUUAAAGGCCUACUUGCAUGACUAUGUUUCCAGUGAAUGCUCUGAAUAUUUCUUGGUGAGUUAAAUAGAUUACCUUAGGGAUAUUCAGCAUAGGACUUGAAAAUAAUAUGGUCCCUAAUGAGUCAUUAACUCUUUACUGUGUUUCAGAGCGCCACGCGACCACGAUGGGACUGCCAACGGUGGCCUGCUCACCGACAGCUCCCCGCCAGCCGGCGGCGUUCCGCCAGCCAACGGGCUUCCGCCAGCCAACGGCGUUCUGCCCGCCGAUGGUGGCCCGACGACCGACGGUCGCUCGCCGGCCGAAGGUGAUCCGGUAGCCGAACGAGGCUCGCCGACCUACGCCGACCGACGCCGGCCCGCCCGCCGACGGCGCCCUGCCGGCCGACCGCGUCCCGCUCGCCGACGGCGUCGAUACGCCGGCGCGCGUAUUGACAUUGAUCAGAAACGAUCACAUUAUGUCCAGGUCAUUAGUCGCGGGCGCUCGAGCUGACGGUGUCGUCUGACGGCUCCACGGUGACCAGCGCCGCCUCCACCGAGAACAUCAGACUCCUGAAAUGCUAAUGGCCGUACACGAACAAGAGGCUCUAUGCAUCCAGGUGCAGGAUAAGCGCCAUGCUCAGAGGCGUCAUCUGGAGAAGGCCGCACAGUGCACUUAAGGCUGAGCUCGGGUGUAGUGCGCGCAGGCAGAUAUGAUCAACUGACGGGCCGGCCAUCAGAUUUCAGUACGGAACUCAAGAUGAUUGGAGCCGACGUGGUUCGGUUGAUGGUGUGUCAGGGUUGAUUGAGAGUGGAGGCGAGACACCCGGAUCUGUGAAACAUACGCCGAUACGGGUCUCGACGUCGUCUCGCAAUUUGUGCUAUGUAAUAUGACGGCUAUGCCGUGGUAUCAUUCACUCUCGCUGCGCUAAUAAAUAAUAAAUAGGACAGA